UACGUAGGGUGCAAGCGUUAAUCGGAAUUACUGGGCGUAAAGCGUGCGCAGGCGGCUUUGCAAGACAGAUGUGAAAUCCCCGGGCUUAACCUGGGAACUGCAUUUGUGACUGCAAGGCUAGAGUACGGCAGAGGGGGAUGGAAUUCCGCGUGUAGCAGUGAAAUGCGUAGAUAUGCGGAGGAACACCGAUGGCGAAGGCAAUCCCCUGGGCCUGUACUGACGCUCAUGCACGAAAGCGUGGGGAGCAAACAGG
rnacentral:rRNA from 1 species